CCACCAAUCCUGUUGCACCACAGUGGGAACUCCAACAAUUUUCUUUCUGAUGACAGUGAGUGCUUACCAGGAACGCCAUGGAUCAGCAAGAUCUCAGCUUGUGUACUGUGUGAUUCUCAGAAGAAAUGCAAUAAUAGCAGCAAGAUGAUUAAAGUGAAAAAGACAAUUCAAAAAAUCUCCUACCAAAUGCACCAAAUACCUCUCGCUUAUUUAAUUCAUUUUUGUAGAGCUGCUUGUUGUUGUUGCUUUUGAGUUUAUAUCAUUUUUUUGAAUUGAAAUUGACUUAUCUAUUAAUGGAUAUAUUUCUCUUUUUUGGUUGACAUUCUCCAUUUUGUGGUACCUACCAACACUAAGCUAAUAGUGAAUAUAAACAAUUUUAUCUUUAAGUUUCUGAGUUUUCUUCUCUUUCAUUUUCUUAAUGCCCUCAAUUUCAUCAAGUUCUGAAGCUUUGAGACCACAACUUUCUAAGCCACAUAACAGACCACAUACAGACCAAGGGAUAGAGUGUUGGGUAAGGGAUCCUUUACACUGCAGCCCCAAGAGGCUUGGUCACAGGAAGCCAAACAAACAAGGGAAAAAAAAAGAAAACAGAUGACUCCAUUCAUGAGUUCAUGUGAAACAGCCCUCAUGCUCAUCCCGGGUUGAUAGGAACCUUCUUUUGCUCUUUGACCUUCUGACUGUUUCCAUCAGUCCUGCUUCACUGGAGAAUGGUCUGUACUAGAAUUCACUAUAGCCAAGAAAGAAUAUUUUAUCAUUUUGUUAUUAAAUAUUGUUGUUCUAAGAAGGUGAUGAACUCUUCAAGAGCAAAGACAAUAGUUUUUGUCUCUCUGGGAGAGCUCAGCACAAAGUUGAGCACGGCACAAUCAGUUGGUAAUUCUUCAUUAACCUGGCUUGACAUUAUUUGACAAGUUCCAUCCUUAUUGUUAGUAACUCAAAAGUGUACAAGAUUGCUAAAAGGUAUAAAUGAAAAGAAAAAAAUUCCUCCUUCCUGGCUAUCACCAAGGACAACAUUGCUUGGAAAGGAUUAAAAUGUUUUAUAUCUCUACCAACCAUUUUCCCAAGAAGCAAAGCCAAGCCUGCAAUACUGAUUAACAUUGUUAAUGUUCUUCUGUAGGCGGACAGGCAACUCAGAGGCUUGCUUCUCACCUUCCCCCUCUUCCUUAGAUAGAAUGACUUAACUCCUCUCAUUUUCAGAGAGAGAGAGAGUGGGCUGGAGGGUAGGGGAAGGGGAAGAGAGAGACUGAAACUUACUCACAGUUACACAGACUCCACUUGGUAUACAUAUAUCCUACAGGAAUUUAGAAAGCAGUGGACCUUAUAACAACAACACAAAUACUCUUUGCUUAACCCCAUCUACCAUAUCAGAAUAAAUGAGGAACCAGGAACCGAGAAGAGACUUGAUGCUGUAGGCUAUUCAAAGGCCUUCUUACCGAAGCCAGUGAAGUUUCAGUAUCAGAAAUAGCUGCCGCUUCUAGAUCUCACUGACUAGAGGAAAAAUAAAAUACCAUGACACACCUGGCAGAUUAUCGUUUUUCAGUUCAGUUGUUUCUUUAUACUUCACCACACACUUAGUUGCCUGAGACCCUGUUUUUCUAAAGAAUUUAAUUGCCAGACCUUACCUCUAGCCAGAUUUCUCAGAUAAUGACUGUGUGUUUCUUAAUUUGUUGGCCCUUUGACAGAAAGUAAAUGAUGGGAUGACUUGUGGUUACAACUAAAUCUGGUAACACAUACUUAUCCAUAGCAACAAGGAGUGAGCACUGGUCCAGGAGUCAAUAACUUUUAGCCCAAUUCCUUCCUGAAUGUUGGCGAGAACCUCAUCUCUUUGGGCCCUAUUUCCUUACAUGUAAAUGAGCAGGUUGAACUAGAUGAUUUAAAGAAUCCCUCCCACUGUUCAGGUUCUGUGCUACCAUCCAGGAGAGAAGACCAUAUGACAGAGAGAUGUGCAACUGAAAACCAGAAAACAAGGCUUGAGGUCCCCACCUUGCCUUGCAACAACUCAUUAAACCUUUCUGAGCUUUGGCUUCUUUUGUCGGUAAGAGCCAUUCCAGUUCUAAAGUCUAUGAUUUUUAUGACACUGCUUAUUGAGUCUGAAAAUAUCACAAACAUAAGGUCUCAGAAAUUACCUUGUAAGAUUUUCGUACUACACAGAUUGUAUCACAUAAACAACCCAAUUUGAUAAUCAACCACCAGCAUUUAUUGUGCAAGCAAAUAGUUUAUCUGCACAACUGUGCAGAGAUGCAAGGCUGCAUAUUUUGCAAACAUCAUUCAGUAGUGAUGGUCUUACUUGCCUUAUCUUAACUGAAUUUUAGAUCACUUAAUAUCUAGCACUAAUUACCACCAUGAUGUCUGGUUUUCACAAGGUUAAACACUGCAUCAAGUUGCUAAGCUUUUGUAUUUUUAACUCUCUGGAUUGUCUGCUUUCUACAGAAUGGUGCCACUGGCAAACAGCCAAACAAGCACAGACUGGCACCUUCACACAAUUGGAUUUUGGAAAACUGCAUUCUGAGGUGCUUCUGUAGCCUGUUUUCUGUAGUGGGUUCCACUUUAUAGUUUGACCUAGUCAUCUCCUCCCUUCCCUAGGAAAUAAAGUGUCAUUUUUGGACUGGUUUGAUUAUGGCUGGCUGUUGCCUGAGCUAUGAGAAUGCACUGAGGAAAGAAUGGCCAUAAUCAUGGCUAUCAGAUGCAAAGGAAGCCUGCUUUGCUCUGGGGUGCUGACUUUGUGCUCAUCAUUUUCCAGUCUGUCUUAUUGGCUUUCCUCUGAAAGAGAAACAGAAGUGCUGGCUGCCAAAGAUGGUUUGGAUCUUUAUCUUGCAGUUGCCAAAGUCAAAGAGGAAGGAAAAAAUAUGGGAAAUGACAUUUAUUAAGCACCUACUGUGUUGCCAGACACUGCUUAACUCAUUCAAUACAAUACUCAUGAAAUGACAUCAGACACGAAGGAAUCCAGGUGCCCAGUGUGGUCAGGACGCUGUCUCCAACUCCCAGUUCUGCUUUUACCUGUUUGACAGUUUUCACAUAGGCUUUCUUCAUUCACUAGCAAGAUGACAUCAGAGACUCCAUCCCCAUAUCCUCCUGGCUGAGGAAGACCAGAGAUGGAAGACCUCUCUUUCCCAUGCCUGUAUAGCAAUCCCGAGAAAUACUCAGAUUGGGACAUAUUCCUUAUGUCACACGUUCAUUACUGAACCAAUUCCCUGCCCCCAACCUCCAUCUGGGUUUGGCCAGUGUGUUCAAGAGUUAGGAUGGCAGAGGGCAAACAACCCCAGUGUGGAGUAGGGGAAAAGUUGGGUUUUUGUUUGUUUGUUUAAAAAAAAAAAAAAGAAGAAGAAGAAGAAGAAGAGGGGUAGCUAUCCUUGCUGGAGAGAUGAAACUUUUGUCUGUCCAAAUGGCUACCUUCAUCCACUGCAAUGAGCUAUUUAAGAAUAAUGUUAGUUUGAGUUGUCAGUCUGAAUGUUUUCUCUCUCCCACUGUAGUGCAGGAGAAAUGAAUCCAACUAGGAUCCAUGAGGAUGUGGGUUAAAUCCCUCGCCUCACUCAGUAGGUAGGGGAUCUGGCACUGCUGUGAGCUGUGGUAUAGGUCACAGACAUGGCUCAAAUCCUGUGUUGCUGUGGCUGUGGCAUAGGCCAGCAGCUGUAGCUCCAAUUCAACUCCAAGCCUGGGAAUUUCCAUGUAUUGCAGUGGAUGCCCUAAAAAGCAAAAAAAAUAAAAAUAAAUAAAUAAAAAUAAAAUAAAAGAAGAAGAAGAAGAAGAAGAGCUGGGUUGAGUCAUAAAACAGUUUUCAACAGAUUGAGGCAAUCUUAGAGGGAAGUUUGUGAAGAAAGUUGGCUUGAACUAUCUCACCGUAAGUAAUAAAUGUUUUGAGUCAGUCUGAAUAUUGCUGGAUAAGACGACAAAUACAAGUGUUCCUACUUUAGCAUUCUUCUAGAUAAUUCUACAAACCGAGAUUCUUUUAUUGGGGUUAAUCAAUAUUGGUAAAUGGUUAAUCAGUAUUGGUAAAUGGUUAAUUAUGAUACAAGUUAGUUGUGAAAGAGAGCUAAGGCAUUUCCCUAGUCACUCAUUUCUUUUGGGGGGUUAUUCUUUAGUUUGGUACAAACUACUUUCUCCGCAGCACAACUUUUCUUAGUUCCACCUCUGGCUGUGUUUCCAUGACUUCUUGUCAGUUAAACCAUUCCUCUAGUUGGUCAUCUCAGAUAGUACUAGCCUGGGGCUAGUAGGGAUGGAGUAAUAUCUGAGGAGCCUGUAGAGUCUGGUAUUUCAGCAAAGAGCUCAUGAGUUUAGGUUGUUUUAGCUAAUAGGUUGUUCUUCCAAUUUCUAAUAAUGUAAACAUAAAAAAAUAGCUAGGCUUAAGAUGAGGAUUGAUAAAAAGAGGCUAGUGAACUGCCAGCAUGGUAUCUGGUACAUCCUCUUCAUCUAAAGUGGCUGCCAUGUUAUCAUUCCAAGACUGCUGUCCAUGCACAUUCUUCACACUGGAACACUUGAGUCAUGGUGGGAGUAUAGCUAUUAGCCACUUCUGGCUCUUGCAUAUGUGCUCUGAACUGUCCUCUGCUUUCCUUUCUAUACUCCCUUUCCUUUGUGCCAAAUAAUUUAGACAAUACACACACAAAAAUUUUGUUUUGUCUUUUUAGGGCCACACCCAUGGCAUAAGGAGGUUCCCAGGCUAGGAGUUGAAUCAGAGCUGUAGCCACUGGCCUACGCCACAGCCACAGCAACGUGGGAUCCAAGCUGUAUUUGUGAACUAUGUCACAGCUCACAGCAACAUUGGAUCCUUAACCCACUAAGCGAGGCCAGGGAUCAAACCUGUGUACUCAUGGAUACUAGUCAGAUUCAUUUCUACUGAGCCACGAUGGGAACUCCCCCCACUUUUUUUUCCUUUUAAGUCAAAUUCUGAUCCUAAGAAACAGAAUGGAGAAAGCAAUUUUACUGAUUCUAUAAGCUCCUCCAAAGCCUGGAAUGUUCUCUCCCCUCUAUUAGUCUUCACAUAGGCCGUUCCUUCAUCAGAACACUUUCCUUCUUAUUUUUGUUUCAUAAGCCUUCUUACCAUCAAAGCUUUAGUUUAGAUUGCUCUCUCCCCUAGAAAGCCUUACCUGAUCCCUAAUCUUGCAUCUUCUAGGUUUGUGAUGUCUCCAAGCAUGUUAGACCUGCAGUGCUGUCUGGUGCCUGGCUCAGACAGAGACCUGAGCUCCAGGAAGGGCAGAGAUCAUGUUUGCCUCACUCAUCUCUAUCGAUCAUUGCACCCUCAGCAGCUAGCACAGUGCCUGGCCGAGAGCAGGCACUCAAUAAAUGUUCUUCCUUGGAAACCCAUGUCCGCGCCUUUUCUAGAAGGCUUUGAAAAUCAUUUACUCUUUUGUAUCUCCUCAGUUAUCUCUAUCCUGGGGCAGCAAUUUGUCACAAAACUCAGAGGUUUGGCAGUGACACCCAAGUUUAGUUAAUCUUGGAAUCAAGUUCCCAAAAAACACACACAUUGUAUCACUUAUUGGGUUGUGGAAUGCAUCUCACUUUUAGCAAAGGAGUGCAAUGCUUAGGUUACCAUGUCUGCUCUGAUAUCUUCUACUGUGUGACCCUGAGCAAGUCACUUAACAUCUUCAUGUCUCAGUUUUCUUACCUUGACAAUGGAGCUGAUGACAGUUUCCACUUCAAACUGUGAAAAGAGAAUAUGUGUGUCUAUGUGCAUGUGGGGGGUAGGGGAGGAAGGAGGCGGGGGGGGGGGAAGAGAGUUGGGGUAAAGAGAGACAUAAAGUACUUAGUACAGUCCCUGGCACGCAAUAUAUUCUCAAGAAUGCUAACCAUGAUGAUUAAUGAUUCCAUUCUUCCAUGUUUCUAAAUCAACAUGGUAUUAAUAUAUCCACUAACAAGAAUGUGAGAAUAAAGCACUAUGACAAAGGGAGAGGAGAGGUACAAGAUGGUGUUCAACCGGACCAUUAUUAGGGAAUCUAAUUCACUUUAGAAAAACAAAUGUUGAGAUGUUAUUUUGAAAUAUAUAUUAAAAUGUUAUUUUAAAAGAGCAACAGGAAGGAAGAAGUAGAAUUGCUGCUUGCCCGAAGGCUUUCUGCAAACCUUUCUAUUUUCCAUUUCUGUCACCUGUUCAGGUUGCCCUUUUGCCAUCCUCUUAACAGGCAAAAUGUUCGGGGGUGGCUAUGUUGCACCAUGCACCAAGGGGACUGAUAUGAGCUGAUUCAAUGAGCCUACUGUCUACUCUUUGUGUUUGACUAUUUAAAUCAAUGUGCUAUACAAUAUCUGUGUAUGCUUGGUGGCCUCUUAGCCCCAUUAGAAAACUGUGUGAGCAAGGGCAGGAGGCAGGGAGAUGGUUCCCGGAAUCAGCAACUAAUUUGCAAGCCUGAGGAGUAUGCAUGAAAGGCAGCAGUAAAAGUCAGUCAUCAGCUCUGAUAUUUAUAGUGAGAGGGAGGAAAGAAAGAAGAGAAAGCCAUGAAAUGUUAUUAGAAAGUCAGGAAAAUAGAGCUACUCAAUAUUACUCAUACCUUACUACCUGUUCUUCAUUUUUUUUAAGGAGUUUUUAUGUAUAAUGUAUGUGUGGGGUCUUAAGAAAUAGAAACAAGAAACUUCCUCCCCCUGAUCAAUGGUAUAUAAUAAAUUACUAUAUUUCAUUUCAAGAAAUUGAAAUGAACUAACCACAAAUGCAGGAAGAUGAGACCUAAAAAAGCAUAUGAGGUUUCCUUUUCUCCCUUAAUUUUUUUUUGUUAGAAAUUGAAGAAUCAUGUUGAAUUUCAAAUAAUCUGCCUAGUCCAAAUACCAAACUGCUGCAUAUUUUGCACAGUGAGGUGUGUUUUAAAAACAUUUUAUAAAAUACAUGUUAUAUAGUGAGAAAACCAAUGGGAGAAAAAAAAAUAAUUCUCACAUGGUAUUAGAAGAAUAUCUAGUGACUUGCAAAUAGGGAACAAUAUAAUAUUGUGUGAACAGCAAGCAUUUAUUUUAUUGUCAAUACCCACAAAUAAAUAAAUAGCAAUAAUAGGGGAGUAUCAGAUGCUUUGAAAACUGUUAGAACUACUGAAUCGGCACAGAACUAGGGAGUUUUAACAUGCCCGGAUGAACUGCCACUAUUGUAAGUGCAGAAUUAUCUUGACUCAUCUCUUGUUUUUGUAACUUUGAUUUAUUAUUAUCCUGGGGAGAUUAGACCUUGGUGCUUGGAAUUCUAAUUGAACCUCCACACUUGGAGAUUGCGCCUUUAUACUACCUAGCAACUAGAAAGCAGGAAAGCAUUUUGGGGGAGAAUAUGCUCAAAUAUACGUAUUUGAGUAAAAAAAAAAAAAAAAGUAACCUUUAACUGUUUUCUCGGUUCUUUGAAAAGCAUUCAUUAUAGCACUGAAACGACUCCUUAGGUUAGAAUUAGGACCCUUUGGGAAGGUUUAUAAAAGCUUUCACCUUGGAGAGGCCACUGGGUUUCCAGGGCAAUGAGUUAACCAAACCAGUAGUAAUCACAGAAUAUUAGGGUCUGAAAUGAAACCAGCUCUGUCCACCCUUAUUUUUGAAGGUGAGAAAACUGGCAUCUCAGAGGUUAAUAGCCUUGUUCAGGCCACACACAUCACGGUAAGGCUGGUCCUAGAAUGGCACCUCCUGACCUCAUCUAGCAUGAUUCCUAGAAUUCUGUGGUUCUCGGCACUUCCUCCAAUGUCUGGCACAAAGUGGGCUCACAAUAAAUGUGUAUCAAUUCACUGAAUGGCCUGAGAGCCUUAAUAAUUACAAAUAUUAUUUUAAAUUAGUUAAAAACACUGAAAAAAUCUUUUUAGAGAGACUAGUCAAUUGCAACCAGACCACUGUGAACAAGAAUACUAUAAACAGGAGGAAAACAUUUAACUAUAGCCUGUAGUAACAAGCUGAAACAUCCUAUGAUGGGGAGGUGCUGGAAAAGCUAGUUGCUUGUGACUAUCUAUAUCAGAAGCACUAGAAUAUCCUUGUCGAGGAUG
rnacentral:lncRNA from 1 species